AGAACGGCUCAGAGAGAACUGCUUGGAGAACUGUCUAGAGCAGAAUGUGGAGAGAGCUUCUGGAGAUCUCCAGAGGAAGCCGAUCAGAGAGAAAGAAAGCAGAACACAGAGAAGGCAGGCUGCAAAGCUGUCUCCAGCAGAGCAUAGGCCGCCAGCUUCCAGCACUGCUUCCAGACACCCCUGCCUCAGAGCCCUCUCCACGCCAAGGCUGGCCCUUGGCAGCCACCAAGAAAUAAAUCCACUGGCAUGCUGAACAAGAAAUGUUCUCAUUCUCUGUAGGAGUUCCUUCUUUUACACUGUCAAGUACCAGGGCUCUCUGCCUUUUGGAGUGAGUUCAGCCACCAUGUCAUCAAUGACUGUAGGUCUGUGCUCCCAGGGCCAGCUUGGAGCUGUCAUAAACGGGAAAACUACCAUCAAGAUGUGCCAAUAUGAGACUAAGUUUAGCGCAGUGAAAUUCAUCAGUGAUGUGGUCGGCAGGGCUUGGAGACGCACGACUGGCUAAAGUGCCGAGAAGUACGCAAGUCACUGCAGCCCUAAAUGGGGUGUAUCUACAUCAUACCCUCUCUCCCUCAAACCUCAGGGAGUUUUCAAGAGAGGGGUGGAAAGACUCUAAGAUCCAGAGGUCAGGAAGCACUGCUGUACAAUGCCGUCUCCUGGACGUGACAGAUCGUCCAUCGCACUCACGAGCUAAGAGCUGCUGGCCACCUGCACAAGAUCCAGCCGGUCGCCAUUUCAGCGUGGACCAAGAAUGGGCACACAGGCCUCAGCUCUAGGUAGGUACCAAUCGCUGAGGACUGGCUGCGGAGGUCUGCAGGUGCAGUCCGAUGGGUGCAGUUCUCCUGCCGCUGAGGUCAGGCCGCCUCCGUGAGUGACUACGACAGAAGGUACACCAGAGGCUCUGUCCUGCAGUCUGACCCACAGGCAGGGGCGGCAGCUCGGAGGCCCCAGCCCUACCCCUGCUCUCUCUUGCCACAGAGGCCCCGCUGUGCGCCUCUGUCAGCUCCGAGCUCCUCUUCCUGAUGAUCAUCAUCAUCCUCUGCCUCGUGGGCGUGGCAUUCCCACUCUGUGCUGCUGUCCUCGUCCUCGUCCUCCUCGCCCAAAAGGAAGCUUCUGGGGGAAGCGUCCCGGUGCUGCCACCGGGAUCGCACCUUCUCUCUCUUCCGGAGCAGACGGGUCGGUUCAGGUGCCUGCUCCCGCCCUGAUGGUGGCGCCAGACUCUGACACUGAAGCCCUCGCUCCUUCUUGCGUUUGUACUCCAUUAUUUGCUUAUUCAGCGCCUCGUGGUCAAUCCCACACAGAUUUGGGUGUGCGGCUGGUUCUGGGGAGUCAUGUGGUACCUGGGCAUCGGCGUUCCUGUGAGAGAAGAGAAGCAAGCCUUCACACAGAGCCCAAACCACACUCCAAAGCACUGUGUAAGGAGCAAACCAUCUGCAUAGGACCCGUGCUACAUCUUCCCAUCUCUGACCGUAUCUGAGGGUGACAGGGAUGUAGCAAGGUGAUCCUGGACAGUGGCUCGGGGGACCAGUGUGUGCACCUGAGCGUGGUGGUAUAUAGACAGCCACCCAGAACAUACAGACCUGUGCUGGGUCCAGGGGCAGGCACCAAGGGGGCCAUGUGUGCUAGCAGAAGCACAGACUAGUAGAGCAGCCGCUGUGGCUAAAACAUCUGCCUCAGGUAACAGAGAGAUGUCCACGUGGCUCACCUCAAACCGUCCAAGUCGUCCCUUUCAUCUGGGGGUCCAAAGUCAGCCUCUGCCAGCAACCGAUCUACCUGAAAGGAAAGUAGGGGGUGGGGGGAGGAUAUGGUAGGCCACGCCCUCUGCUUGCAGGGUACAGAGUCAGGGCCUCGCACGCAGUCCAGCACAAGUCACCUGGCUUCAGCUAGCACCACUGCGGGCGGGCGCCUUCUCAAUGCUGCGAUCCACCCCCCUCCCUGUUCCAUUAUCUUGUCCCAAGUUCCCUGACGACAACUGAGGCUCCCUGAGUUUGCAACAUUAGACAAGUCUCUGAGGAAAAUAAACACGGGCUGAAUUACAUAA
rnacentral:lncRNA from 1 species